AUUGAACGCUGGCGGCAGGCUUAACACAUGCAAGUCGAACGAGGGGCGGACGGGUGAGUAAUGCUUGGGAAUCUAGCUUAUGGAGGGGGAUAACUACGGGAAACUGUAGCUAAUACCGCGUACCAUAGGAUGAGCCCAAGUGGGUUUAGGUAGUGGGUGAGGUAAAGGCUCAUCAAGGCGACGAUCAAUAGCAGGUCUGAGAGGCUGACCGGCCACACUGGGACUGAGACACGGCCCAGACUCCUACGGGAGGCAGCAGUGGGGAAUAUUGCGCAAUGGGGGCAACCUGACGCAGCCAUGCCGCGUGAGUGAAGAAGGCCUUCGGGUUGUAAAGUUCUUUCGGUAGCGAAGCGUUAACUACAGAAGAAGCAACGGCUAACUCCGUGCCAGCAGCCGCGGUAAUAC
rnacentral:rRNA from 1 species